rnacentral:lncRNA from 1 species
CGGCCACUGAACAUCUUGGGCAAUUCAGCCCCCAGCGCUGCUCAGGACAUUCUUUUGGGUUUACAAGGAAUCUUUAUUGGAGCAGUACACAACGAUAAGCAUUAAUAGAAAGGGCAUUCCUCUCCCAUAGCUUUAAAGAGAAGCCAUUAAUUCCCUUUGCAGAAAUGUGUGCAAUGUGAAUUCCUGGAAGGGCGCGGCUGGAGGGAGAAAGGACUGCGAGAUGAAAACCUGGGGGAACGGUGUCAAAAAUAAAAUGUAAGCUGUGCAUUUUAUUUUUAUGUGCAGAUUUAGAGAAAUACUGUGCCUUGGGGGAAAAAAGAGCUGGUCAGCCACUAAUAGUGCCCAACCUAAUCACGCUGUCCUCAGCUAAUGUUCCAUGUGCUGCUGCCAUGGUCAGCCUGCUCUCUUCCCCACUUCUUGUCCCCUGUGGUGUCCCAGCUCUGUGCCCAUGGGUCCCACCCCUGUCUGUCAGCUCCUGUCCUCUCCUCUUGGAUGGGUUGAGGCUGACCAUAACCAUGGUGGGCAGAGAGCACAUGGAGAACAAGGAAAUGCUGGCAAACUGGGUGUGUGGGAAUGGGAUCAUUGUCCAUCUUCUGCAGGUCGUGCUGUGAGUGCUGGUCCUGAAGUGCUGAUGUGCUGCCAACCACAGGGUUAAUCCCAGGCUCUGGAUGUACAGAUGGGUGCUCCAAGACUCCUUGCCACCACCCUGUGACAGCCACUCCAUGGGGCAGGAAGGGAAGAGAGGAGCUGGAGAUGUGAGCACUCAGAAAGGCAAUUAACCACUGGCCCAGAUAAGAGUGAAAUAUUCCAUCUGCUUUUGUUUUAAUGGCAUUGAUCUAAAGCAGGGAUGCAACGAUUUCCAGUGCAGAAGUUUAUGGUCUGUGUUUGCUGGUGGGAAUGUCUCUCUGUCCCUGAGAGUGGGAAUGCUCCAUGUUGGUGCAGUUUAUCUUCUGCAAACCUCGUCUGUGGAACUCUCGUCUUCCUACCUGGUGCAACCCUCUCAAGCAGGGGACUGAGAGAUGUGGUGGGCAGCAAAAGCUCUGCACAUCUCCCAGGGUGUUUUGCAAAGCCAGCUCAAAGUCUGUGCAGAGACACAACAGAGAUAAAGCAGAAACGAGGGUCACCGACAGCCUGGGCUACCAAAGGUGUGGGUCAUAAUGAGCCCACAGCAACAUUUGCACACACUUCUGGAGCACAGCCUUUGAAGGGACAAGGCUGUAUUUUGACUGAAUUCUGGCUGAAUUUUGACUGAAUUUUGACUGAAGGUUUCGUGGUGUGUUUCUCUGCUAUGGCCCCAGGAUCAAUGGUUUGGCCAGAAACUUCUUACUGCAAAACAGCAGGACUUAAGGCAGUGCAAACCUCACAGUAAAAAACCCAGAAAAAUGGGUAUAUUGUUCAUCCAAAUAAAGGCUUCAUCCUUUGAAUUAUAUUUAAAGAU